rnacentral:rRNA from 1 species
AGUGAACGCUGGCGGUAGGCCUAACACAUGCAAGUCGAACGGCAGCACAGGAUAGCUUUCCCUCCGGGUGGCGCGUCGCGGACGGGUGUGGCAUACAUCGGAAUCUGCUCAGUCGUGGGGGAUAACGUAGGGAAACUUACGCUAAUACCGCUUACGACCUUAGGGAGAAAGAGGGGGAUCGCAAGACCCAUCGCGAUCGGAUGAGCCGAUGUCGGCUUAGUUAGUUGGCGGGGUAAUGGCCCACCAAGGCGACGAUCCGUAGCCGGUCGGAGAGGAUGAUCAGCCACACUGGAACGGAGACACGGUCCAGACUCCUACGGGAGGCGGCAGUGGGGAAUAUUGGACAAUGGGCGCAAGCCUGAUCCAGCCAUACCGCGUGGGGGAAGAAGGCCUUCGGGUUGUAAAGCCCGUUUGUUGGGAAAGAAAUCGUUCAGGCUAAUACCCUGGGAGGAUGACGGUACCCAAAGAAUAAGCGCCGGCUAACUUCGUG